AUGGAUUCGAGAACAGCAUUCCGCAGUGCUCUGCUACUGCUGGUGACACUGCUGCCUCUUUCAGCUAACGCGUCGAGCAAACUCUACAUCGUGUAUAUGGGGGAGAAGAAGCAUGAUGACCCGUCUGUGGUUACCGCGUCUCACCAUGACAUGCUAACCUCUGUUUUUGGGAGCAAGGAUGAAGCCUUGAGGUCAAUAGUUUAUAGUUACAAGCAUGGAUUUUCUGGUUUCGCGGCGAUGCUCACCGAGUCUCAGGCUGAGACAAUCGCAAAAUUCCCUGAAGUUGUCACCGUCAAGCCUAACAUUUUUCAUGAAACGCACACAACUCGGAGUUGGGACUUUCUUGGCCUUGACCAUAACCAACAACCAGCACAACAACCGGGACUACUAAAAGAAGCAAAGUACGGUGAAGAUGUCAUCGUGGGUGUGAUCGAUACAGGCAUAUGGCCUGAAUCACGAAGUUUUGAUGACAAUGGGUAUGGCCCUGUGCCGGCACGGUGGAAAGGGAAAUGCCAGACUGGUCAGGAUUUCAACGCCACAAGUUGCAACAGAAAGAUCAUUGGUGCGCGCUGGUAUGGUCUCGGCAUCAGUGACGGGGUGCUAAACAACAACUACAAGUCCCCUAGGGACAUUGACGGCCAUGGCACGCAUGUCGCCUCGACCGUCGCCGGCGGGGAAGUGCAGGGCGUGAGCUACGGAGGCCUAGGCAUGGGCGUGGCACGCGGCGGGGCGCCACGUGCGCGGCUCAGUAUCUACAAGGUUUGUUGGUUGGGUGGGAAUUGCCCUGAAGCAGCGAUCCUCGCGGCUAUCGAUGACGCCAUAUAUGACGGUGUUGACGUCUUGUCACUCUCGCUUGGAGGGGCUGGUCACGAGUUACCCGGGACGCUACAUGCUGUGCAAAGAGGGAUUUCUGUCGUGUUUUCCGGAAUGAAUGAUGGCCCUGUGCCGCAAACAGUGUCCAAUACCCUUCCAUGGGUUACCACGGUGGCCGCUAGCACGAUUGACCGGUCUUUCCCGACCUUGAUAUCGCUCGGAAACAAAGAAAAGCUGGUGGGGCAAUCUCUUCACUACAAUGCAUCUCUAAUCAGCGACGACUUUAAAGGCCUUGUUUAUGCCGGGAGCUGUGACACCGAAUCAUCACUGACAUUGAGCAACGUCACUGGUAAAAUCGUCCUGUGCUAUCAACCGGCAGCAGCGAAUAGCAUGCCGCCUCCACAAGCACUUCCCAUAGCCAUCAAUCUCACCAUCAUGGCUGGCGCCAAGGGUCUCAUAUUUGCACAGUACACUACUAACCUCCUCGACUUCCUGCCUUUGUGUAAGGGCGUUAUGCCCUGUGUAGUGGUGGAUUUUGAGAUCGCACACCGAAUUGUCUCCUAUUGGAGGUCAGACAAAGGGAAUGCGGUGGUGAAAGUGUCACCCGCAAUGACCGUUGUCGGGAAAGGGGUGUUGUCACCGAGGGUCGCCUCAUUCUCGUCAAGAGGUCCAAGCAUGUUGUUCCCUAGCAUACUCAAGCCCGACAUUGCUGCACCUGGCGUUAGCAUCUUGGCAGCGGAGCGCAACUCCUACGUGUUCAAAUCCGGGACAUCCAUGGCGUGCCCGCAUGUCUCCGCUGUGACCGCACUGCUCAAGUCGGUUCACCCUGGCUGGUCACCUGCCAUGAUUAAGUCUGCCAUGGUCACCACAGCAUCUGUGACUGAUCGUUUUGGCAUGCCAAUCCAAGCAGAAGCGGUCCCAAGGAAACUAGCCGACCCCUUCGACUUUGGUGGUGGACACAUUGACCCAGAUAGAGCCAUUGACCCUGGCUUGGUUUAUGACAUGGAUUCAAGGGUGUACAACAAGUUUUUCAACUGCACUCUUGGAUAUUUAGAUGGCUGUGAGUCCUACUACCUCAAUCUCAACCUCCCGUCAAUUGCCGUGCCGGACCUCAAGGACCGUGUCAUGCUUCGGCGCACUGUGACUAAUGUUGGGCCAGCGGAAGCAACAUAUCAUUUAGUGGUUGAAGCUCCAGCAGGGAUAGAUGUGUUCGUGGAACCAUCUGUGAUUAGUUUCACCAAAGGAAGCAGUAGAAGCGCAACAUUUAUGGUGACAUUCACAACAAGGCAGAGAGUGCAAGGAGGAUACACUUUCGGGAGCUUGACAUGGUCAGACGGAAGUACCCACUCAGUGAGAAUUCCUGUUGCUGUACGGACUGUGGUACAAGACUUCGUUGCGGAUACCGCUUAA
rnacentral:rRNA from 1 species